CCCCGCGCUCCGGACGUCUCGGGAGGCCGUUUGGGUCCGUUAGUUGACGCGCCCAGCGAGCUCAGCGCAGGCCCUGCGCGGCCUUGCUCCGGGCGCUGGGGCGACCCAGUGAGGCUGGAGAGCAGUGGACAGGUGCGGGAGUGGCCCGGGGAGCCAAAGGAGUGGCGGUGCAGAGAGGGUGUUUUCAAGGUCGGAAAGUCGUUGGGGCGGCCCAUUAGUUUCAGUGGAGAAAUGUGGCAACCUGUUGUCAGGUGAUACGCGGGAACAUCACUCGUGAAGGGCAGAUGGACAUCCUGUGCCCCUGGGUAUGAUGCCCUGAGGAGGACACCACCUCCGGCACCCGGUGGAACGCAGAACCUGUGUCUAUCUGGAGGAAAUUGCCGAAAUAUGAACAUUGUACCCAAGUGGCGAGGAACUGCGUUUUCAGAGCUGUUGGUGCCAGAGAAGAUAAGCCGUGGCUGAGCCUAGACCCGGACCCAGCAGAGGAGCAGAGAGUGACACAACAGACGUCGUUGAGUGUGUUCACAGGAGUAGAUGAAAGGAUUGGAUCAACGUGAAGUUUACUGAAAUCAAUGGCAGUUCUGUGUUUCUGUAGGAGAACAUUCUUACUUAAAAAUUCACACUGAUUCUGGGCGAGGGGCACACGCCUGUAAUCCCAGUGGCUUGGAAAAUUGAGGCAGGAGGAUCCAGAGUUCAAAGCCAGCCUCAGCAACUUAGAGAGGCACUUAGCAACUCAGUGAGAAUCUUUCUCUAAAUAAAAUACAAAAAAGGUCUGGGGAUUUGCCUCAGGGGUUAAGUGCUCUUGAGUUCAAUCCUCUGUACAAAAAAAAAAAAUAAUUUACACUGACCUAUUUAGAGUAUAUGCAACUUAUUGCCAAAUAGUUCAGAAAAGCAUGUUCUUAAGGCUGGGGUUGUGGCUCAGUGGUAGACUGCUUGCUGAGCACGCAUGAGGCACUGGGUUCGAUCCCCAGCACCACAUAAAAAUUUAAAAAAAAAAAAAAGCAUGUUAUCAUCUACAAUCAGUGAUAACAACAAUGGGGGCAAAAUACCAAUAUCUGGAUCUGGAAAUGGGUAUGUUAGUUAUUCUGUAAGCAUGAAAUGAUCUUCAAAUAAAAAGCAAAAGAAAUAAAGCAGAAAAUAAAGACCACUUGAGGUUUGAACUGAGACCUUGGGAGAACUUGGCCAGCUGUGGGUGGGGGUGGGGGUCCCAGCAGUUGGUCAGCCAA
rnacentral:lncRNA from 1 species